rnacentral:rRNA from 1 species
AUUGAACGCUGGCGGCAUGCCUUACACAUGCAAGUCGAACGGUAACGGGUCCUUCGGGAUGCCGACGAGUGGCGAACGUGUGAGUAAUAUAUCGGAACGUGCCCAGUAGUGGGGGAUAACCGCUCGCAAGAGCAGCUAAUACCGCAUACGACCUGAGGGGGAAAGGGGGGGAGCGCAAGACCUCUCGCUACUGGAGCGGCCGAUAUCAGAUUAGCUAGUUGGGGGGGUAAAGGCCUACCAAGGCAACGAUCUGUAGUUGGUCUGAGAGGACGACCAGGCACACUGGGACUGAGACACGGCCCAGACUCCUACGGGAGGCAGCAGUGGGGAAUUUUGGACAAUGGGCGCAAGCCUGAUCCAGCAAUGCCGCGUGCAGGAAGAAGGCCUUCGGGUUGUAAACUGCUUUUGUCAGGGAAGAAAUCUUCUGGGCUAAUACCCCGGGAGGAUGACGGUACCUGAAGAAUAAGCACCGGCUAACUACGUGCCAGCAGCCGCCGCGG